AGCACUGUACGAGAAUGCCACAAUGGAGAAACACUGACAUUUUUCAUUGUUUGGUCUGAUGAUAAAAGAAAGAAAGAAAAAGGGCCACAUCGUCUGGUUUGGCAGGUGGAAGAUUUAUCAGAGAAUGUACCACUUACCACACGUACCACCUACCUAAGCAUUGUUGCAGACCAUGUACACCCUUUUAUGGAAACGGUAUUCCUUGGUGGCUGUGGCCUCUUUCAGCAGGAUAAUGCCUCUGCCACAAAGCAAAAAUGGUUCAGGAAUGGUUUGAGGAGCACAACGAGUUUGAGGAGGUAUAUGGCUGUGAGGUACAGUCAUACUAAUGAAUUGGGAGGAUUCUGGGAAUAUGGUGGUCUCUGCUCUGCACCACAAAAAGAUGCCAGCAGUUGGGGGGCUUUUGUACUACUGAAUGCUCUUGCCCUGACGAGAGGCAUCAGUCCAAGCCAUCUGACACAACGCCAUGCAGUGGAAAUGAGGAAGUUUGUGUACCACAAACUCAAACAAAAUGCAUUAUGUUAAAGGUUUAGGUAACCCAAAAAUGAAAAUUCUGUCAUUAAUUACUCGCCCUCAUGUCGUUUUAUACCCAUAAGACCAUCGUUUAUCUUCAGAACACAAAUUAAGAUAUUUUUGAUAAAAUCGGAGAGGUUUCUGAUUCCCAAGAGAAAGCAACAUAAUUACCACAUUCAUAGAUGCAAACUCCUCACCUUUCAGUGACAACUCACCUUUUUGAGAUCAAAAUGGGUCACUUAUGGGAUUUGCAUAGAUCCAAUGUUUUUAUGGGGUGGGGGGGUCUGAGAUGUGGGAAUGGUGAAGAGAGAGAGGGCAAACAGUUUGCAGUUUAGCUCAGUAUUGCUGUCUAAUCAGCCAAUAUUGUCUUAAAUAGCCAUAGCACUUCAUCUUUU